rnacentral:rRNA from 1 species
UACAGAGGUCUCGAGCGUUGUUCGGAUUCAUUGGGCGUAAAGGGCGCGUAGGCGGCGGGGUAAGUCUGGUGUGAAAUCUCGGGGCUCAACUCCGAAAUUGCACUGGAUACUGCUCUGCUAGAGGGCUGGAGAGGAGAUCGGAAUUCACGGUGUAGCAGUGAAAUGCGUAGAUAUCGUGAGGAAGACCAGUGGCGAAGGCGGCUCUCUGGGACGGUACUGACGCUGAGACGCGAAAGCGUGGGGAGCGAACAGG